GAAAAUAGACUAGGUUUUAAAUAGUGACGCUAAAAGCUGACGGUGACUUAGUCGUUGGGUGGAGGACUUGAUUAUUAAAUAGUUUUAAAUUUACGAAUUUUGCAAAGUAUUUUUUCAUAAUUUAUAUGGAAAAUAAAUUUUGAAUGAAUGAAAUGUCAUAUCGUGUUAAUAAAUUCAAAUAAUAUACCAUGGAGAGUGCUUGAUAAUUGCGAAAAACCUGGAUUAUCAUCAUAAUAAAUAUCGCGUGCAAAAUGCCAAAAUAUCUCCUCCCAAUAUGCUACGGUAUUCGAUUGCGUAUUCAUGCGUAUACGAAAAUAACGUUGGGAGUAAAAUCAAUAAGGCCCAUCGGCGCCCCGCAAGGUCGAGCAAGUUGAAAUAUCUCUGAAGAUACAUCGCUGCUGUUCGGGCAAAAUACGGAGGCGUGAAAAUAACUUAGUCAAUUGUACACCCAAUGAGUUCCAGAAAAAUAUUUGAUUUACAAACUUUCACUCGAGCGCUGCGACAUGGUCGCACAAGUCAGGGACGUCCUUGUCUUGCAAAAGAAGACGCGGCUCGGAUAUUAGUAAUGUUUGUGUGAGGUUUAUGGUAAAGUAUUCAAGGAGCGAUCACUGCUAUUGCGUCAACAAGUACAAAGUAACGUCUACAUGCUUGAAUGAAUACUCGAUGAAAUCGUCAUCGAGGUAAAGGUGGACAAUUUUAAAUGAAAAGGGAGUGAUGAACUAAAACAUGAUGAUAUAUCUUUUAAUUCAUCAUAUAAAAAGAUAAAGAUGCA